rnacentral:rRNA from 1 species
UACGUAGGGUGCAAGCGUUAAUCGGAAUUACUGGGCGUAAAGCGUGCGCAGGCGGUUAUGUAAGACAGAUGUGAAAUGCCCGGGCUUAACCUGGGAACUGCAUUUGUGACUGCAUGGCUAGAGUUUGGCAGAGGGGGGUAGAAUUCCACGUGUAGCAGUGAAAUGCGUAGAUAUGUGGAGGAACACCGAUGGCGAAGGCGGUUCUCUGGGCAUGUCCUGACGCUGAGGAGCGAAAGUGUGGGGAGCGAACAGG